rnacentral:rRNA from 1 species
UACGUAGGGGGCAAGCGUUGUCCGGAAUUACUGGGCGUAAAGGGUGCGUAGGCGGUUUAAUAAGUUAGAUGUGAAAUCCCCGGGCUUAACUUGGGAGUGGCAUUUAAAACUGUUAAACUAGAGUGCAGGAGAGGAAAGCGGAAUUCCUAGUGUAGCGGUGAAAUGCGUAGAUAUUAGGAGGAACACCAGUGGCGAAGGCGGCUUUCUGGACUGUAACUGACGCUGAGGCACGAAAGCGUGGGGAG